GAGUUCAUGCCCUUCGGGGUAGAUCUCCCACCCUUUGUAUACUAUACCUCUGUUGCUUUGGCGGGCCGCCUUAGCGCUACCGGCCCUGUGGGCUGGUACGUGCCCGCCGAAGGACCCAAAACCCUGAAUAUUAGUGUCGUCUGAGUAAAAAGUUUAAUAUUUAAAACUUUCAACAACGGAUCUCUUGGCUCU
rnacentral:misc_RNA from 1 species